rnacentral:rRNA from 1 species
UACGUAGGUGGCAAGCGUUAUCCGGAAUUAUUGGGCGUAAAGCGCGCGCAGGUGGUUUUUUAAGUCUGAUGUGAAAGCCCACGGCUCAACCGUGGAGGGUCAUUGGAAACUGGGAGACUUGAGUGCAGAAGAGGAAAGUGGAAUUCCAUGUGUAGCGGUGAAAUGCGUAGAGAUAUGGAGGAACACCAGUGGCGAAGGCGACUUUCUGGUCUGUAACUGACACUGAGGCGCGAAAGCGUGGGGAGCAAACAGG